CCUACUGGAGGCAGCAGUGAGGAAUAUUGGUCAAUGGACGCGAGUCUUAACCAGCCAUGUAGCGUGAAUGAUGACUGCCCUACGGGUGGUAAACUUCUUUUAUAAAGGAAUAAAGUGAGGCACUUGUGCCUUUUUGUAUGCACUUUAUGAAUGAGGAUCGGCUAACUCGGUGCCAGCAGCCGCGGUAAUACGGAGGAUCCGAGCGUUAUAAGGAUUUAUUGGGUAUAAGGGCGCGUAGAUGGGUUGUUACGUCAGUGGUGAAAGUUUGCGGCUCAACCGUAAAAUUGCAAUUGAUACUGGCAGCCUUGAGUACAGUAGAGGUAGGCGGAAUUCGUGGUGUAGCGGUGGAAUGCUUAGAUAUCACGAAGAACUCCGAUUGCGAAGGCAGCCUACUAAACUGCCACUGACAUUGAUGCUCGAAAGUGUGGGUAUCAAACAGGAUUAGAUACCCCAGUAGUC
rnacentral:rRNA from 1 species